UUGGGGUGCGCCCGUCUGAAGACAGGGUGGCGCCGUAUGUUUGUACGUGUCCAUCUGCGGGCGGAGGAUAACCAGCGGAUGUGGCGAGUAAGGGAGGCUUGACUUGGUGGGAUGUGUUGAGGGGGUGAGGGGGGGAGCUCCUUAUGCUCCAUAUUUCCGCCCCCUUUCAAACGCAGGCAUCCUCAGUGGUCCAGCCCAGAGGUCCUUUGAAGCUCCUCGACACCGCUGCGUGAUGAUGUCAUACGGCGAGAGAGCCCGGGGAGGCGAAGGAGGCAUGAUCAAAGCCGAGAAAGGGGAGGGAUGGUAGAUGGGGAGGAGAGGAUAUCCAAGACAACAACGGGACAAAGAUGGCGCCUGCGACGGGACGUCCGCCCGCGUACCUAAACGUCCGGAUCGCCCGGCGGUGGCCUGGGCGCUCGACGGUCCCCAUUCAUCCACCCCCCCUUUGUCCCUGCAGGAUGACCGCCGACAUGACACGCCGGAACCACCAGGCCUACCACCUCCGCCGCCGCCGCCAUCGCCACCAGGCUAGCACGGCUAUGCUUGGACCAGAUGGAGAAGCCGUCGGUCCAGGACUGGACCAGGACUCGGACUGGUGUGUGGACCUCACCUGAGCCACCACCGCACUCCGCCUCCUCCACGUACCAACAGGGAGGCAUGGCUGGGUGCUCCCGACUGACUGACAGCCGGCUGGAUGAGGAGGGUGACAGGCGGGACGCUCGGGCGCUGCUGCUGGUGAAGUGGACAUGUGAACCACUUGACUGCAGGUUAGACACCUGAGG